CAUGGCGGACGGGUGGAGUAACGCGUAAGAACUUGCCCUUUAGACUGGGAUAACAGAGGGAAACUUCUGAUAAUACUGGAUAAGUUAGUAUAUCGCAUGAUAUGCAAAUGAAAGCUACGGCACUAAAGGAGAGCUUUGCGUCCUAUUAGCUAGUUGGUAAGGUAAGAGCUUACCAAGGCGAUGAUAGGUAGCCGGCCUGAGAGGGUGGACGGCCACAAGGGGACUGAGAUACGGCCCUUACUCCUACGGGAGGCAGCAGUC
rnacentral:rRNA from 1 species